CCUAUGGGAGACAGCAGUGAGGAAUAUUGGUCAAUGGGCGCGAGCCUGAACCAGCCAAGUAGCGUGAAGGAUGACUGCCCUACGGGUUGUAAACUUCUUUUAUAAAGGAAUAAAGUGAGGCACGUGUGCCUUUUUGUAUGUACUUUAUGAAUAAGGAUCGGCUAACUCCGUGCCAGCAGCCGCGGUAAUACGGAGGAUCCGAGCGUUAUCCGGAUUUAUUGGGUUUAAAGGGAGCGUAGAUGGGUUGUUAAGUCAGUUGUGAAAGUUUGCGGCUCAACCGUAAAAUUGCAAUUGAUACUGGCAGUCUUGAGUACAGUUGAGGUAGGCGGAAUUCGUGGUGUAGCGGUGAAAUGCUUAGAUAUCACGAAGAACUCCGAUUGCGAAGGCAGCUUACUAAACUGCCACUGACAUUGAUGCUCGAAAGUGUGGGUAUCAAACAGGAUUAGAUACCCCAGUAGUC
rnacentral:rRNA from 1 species